UGAGUCUAUAUUACUUUUGGCAAC
rnacentral:siRNA from 1 species